AUGUACGUGAACGAAUACGAAGUCCAUUUAAACUGUGGUUCGACAAGUUAUCCUAAUAAGCCAGUAACCCCGCUUCGUAGUACAAGCCACAGGUUGGGAAGCAUGUGCUGAUGCAGCUUGUUGUUACACCCACCACCCGGCUGGCAAUAUACACAGUCCAGCCCCACACUGGAAAUGGCUGGUUUUGAUUACUUAUGGCACAAGAAGUUCAAGCGAUGUCUGCCCUUCGUGGGUGUGGCAAAAAGGUGGAGGCGCGCGGCCGGAGAAACGGAAAUCGGUGGCUGUUUUCUUUGUGGGGUCCGCGCGCUUAUGCGUUAAAUGGGGGGGGGGACUUCUUUUUUCUUUCUCCAGAAACCUAAACUAGGGCACAAGCCGUGUUUGCGCUUUACCUUGUAUGCGGUUGCGGAUUGGUGAAAUUGUACCGCAGUAAGGAGUUUUUUUUGCCAAAUGGAAGAGGCGCUGCAGCCGACGACAGAGCGCGUGGCAGAGUUACCGAACUGACCGGGAGCUCAGACUGUCCUGAGUGCGCGGAAUGACUCUCUCAUUUCGCUGUGAUAAGCAGGAAGAGGAGACGGGUUUUCUUACGAUAAGGGAUAUUUGGCGUUUUUCUUCUGAUCGGUACUGCAGUGAGACUGAGUGUUGUAUGCGGUAAUCUCUGGGCCGCGGAAUGGUGACGCCCGUCAUAUUCGCCUGGGACGGAGUUAUAUGGACGCUUGAACGGACUUUUCCUUGCCCUGCCGUACAGCCAUCCUCCAGGGCCGCAGCUCACUGCCUCAGACUGUGUUAUAGUUACCUAGGAGUUGGAGCGCCUCAUCCAUCCUGCUGGAUCUGGUAAAGAUGUCCAGUGGGGAGCAGCAGCUGGUCCAUGGCCAAUCGAGCAGAGCCACCACCCCCCUCAAAAUCCCGAUGACUGUGUAUGCCAAAUAUGAGAUCUUCCGGUGGAGGGCAUGGGCUCCUGCAGAUGAGAAACAAGUAUUU